rnacentral:rRNA from 1 species
AGAGUUGACCUGGCUCAGGACGAACGCUGGCGGCGCGCUUACACAUGCAAGUCGAGCGAGAACCGGGCCUUCGGGCCCGGGGACAGCGGCGAACGGGUGAGUAACACGUGAGUAAUCUGCCCUCGGCAUCGGGAUAGCCCGGGGAAACCCGGAUUAAUACCGAAUAGCCUCCGGAGCCUUCGGGCGCCGGAGAAAAGGUAGCUUCGGCCUCCGGCCGAGGAGGAGCUCGCGGCGGAUCAGCUUGUUGGUGGGGUAACGGCCCACCAAGGCGACGACGGGUAGCCGGCCUGAGAGGGUGAACGGCCACACUGGGACUGAGACACGGCCCAGACUCCUACGGGAGGCAGCAGUAGGGAAUCUUGCGCAAUGGGCGAAAGCCUGACGCAGCGACGCCGCGUGCGGGACGAAGGCCCUCGGGUUGUAAACCGCUUUCAGCAGGGACGAAGCGAAAGUGACGGUACCUGCAGAAGAAGGUCCGGCCAACUACGUGCCAGCAGCCGCGGUAAUACGUAGGGACCGAGCGUUGUCCGGAUUCAUUGGGCGUAAAGAGCUCGUAGGCGGCCACUCAAGUCGAAUGUGAAACCUCGAGGCUUAACCUCGAGCCUGCAUUCGAUACUGGGCGGCUAGAGUCUGGUAGGGGGAUCUGGAAUUCCUGGUGUAGCGGUGGAAUGCGCAGAUAUCAGGAGGAACACCGGUGGCGAAGGCGGGAUCCUGGGCCAGUACUGACGCUGAGGAGCGAAAGCGUGGGGAGCAAACAGGAUUAGAUACCCUGGUAGUCCACGCCGUAAACGAUGGGCGCUAGGUGUGGGAGGUCAUCGACUCCUUCCGUGCCGCAGCUAACGCAUUAAGCGCCCCGCCUGGGGAGUACGGCCGCAAGGCUAAAACUCAAAGGAAUUGACGGGGGCCCGCACAAGCGGCGGAGCAUGUUGCUUAAUUCGACGCGACGCGAAGAACCUUACCAGGGCUUGACAUGUAGGGAAAAGCCGUGGAGACACGGUGUCCGCAAGGGCCCUACACAGGUGUUGCAUGGCUGUCGUCAGCUCGUGUCGUGAGAUGUUGGGUUAAGUCCCGCAACGAGCGCAACCCUUGUCCUAUGUUGCCAGCGGUUCAAGCCGGGGACUCAUAGGAGACUGCCGGGGUCAACUCGGAGGAAGGUGGGGACGACGUCAAGUCAUCAUGGCCCUUAUGUCCUGGGCUGCAAACAUGCUACAAUGGCCGGUACAGAGGGCUGCAAACCCGCGAGGGGGAGCCAAUCCCAAAAAGCCGGUCUCAGUUCGGAUCGGGGUCUGCAACUCGACCCCGUGAAGUCGGAGUCGCUAGUAAUCGCGAAUCAGCAACGUCGCGGUGAUACAAUCCCGGGCGUGCACACA